AACAUCUGGGCCUGUCUUCCUUUGGCCCAUUUCAGUCCCUAGUCUAAAACCUUGUUUUUGGAUACCCUCAUCUCCAAUUAGGGUUUCCAAAGCAUGAAACCUUGAAUUGUUUGUAGGUCCAAGGUCCUGUCUGCCACUUAUCUUGGUUGUCCUUGGCGGUCAUCUACGUCUCCUUUCCACUAGCAUCCAAGGGCCAUAAUCAUCUGAAUUCUUUGGAUUCUCCAUUGGUACAUGUGCCCUGGCAAUCUAGGAAGCCGAAUCCACGCCAUGACCAUACGGAGGUAAGGUUGUGCUGUGUUAAAAUCCAUAGAUCAAGGUUGUAAGGUUAGGUACUUCCCAUAAACAAUCCAAGGUCCUUGACAUAGGACCUUCUUAAAGUCCUCUGGGUUCUGAAAUUUAGCCAAGAAGUAACCAUUUUCAACAUCCAUAAAGCAAAACGGUUAAGACGAUUUCCACAAAGAAUGGACUUUAUUAUGAAGCGCAAUAUACACAAUGCUUCUUCCCAGAAGCUUAACUACCAAUGUAUGAGCCAUGUUGUUAAUUAGGAUCUAGUUUACCCAUUCAAAGAAACUAAUCGAUGGAAUACCAUUAAUUGAAGAACGCAC